GACGAACGCUGGCGGCGUGCUUAACACAUGCAAGUCGAAGAUAGUGGCGAAAGGGUGAGUAAUACGUAGUAACCUGCCCUCCUUUUUGGGAUAAGCCUUGGAAACGGGGUCUAAUACCGAAUAAAGGGGGAUGGGCUCGCGGCCUAUCAGCUUGUUGGUGGGGUGAUGGCCUACCUAGGCAACGAUACAUAGCCGACCUGAGAGGGUGAUCGGCCACCCUGGAACUGAGACACGGUCCAGACUCCUACGGGAGGCAGCAGUGGGGAAUAUUGGACAAUGGGCGAAAGCCUGAUCCAGCCAUGCCGCGUGUGUGAAGAAGGUCUUCGGAUUGUAAAGCACUUUAAGUUGGGAGGCGUUACCAACAGAAUAAGCACCGGCUAACUUCGUGCCAGCCGCCGCGGUAAUAC
rnacentral:rRNA from 1 species